CUUAGUCUCAGUUCGGAUUGUAGGCUGAAACUCGCCUACAUGAAGCUGGAGUUGCUAGUAAUCGCGAAUCAGCAUGUCGCGGUGAAUACGUUCCCGGGCCUUGUACACACCGCCCGUCACACCAUGAGAGUUGGCAAUACCCAACGUACGUGAUCUAACCCGCAAGGGAGGAAGCGUCCUAAGGUAGGGUCAGCGAUUGGGGUGAAGUCGUAACAAGGUAUC
rnacentral:rRNA from 1 species